UGUUUACAAUUUUUGUCCCUUGCAGUUAUUUUUAAUCAGGAUUUGUCAUUUGACUCACAGUUAAGCAACGUUCUGCCUUUCUUCACCUGCAUAGUGUUAG